GAUGAACGCUGGCGGCGUGCCUAAUACAUGCAAGUCGAGCGAACGGACGAGAAGCUUGCUUUUCUGAUGUUAGCGGCGGACGGGUGAGUAACACGUGGAUAACCUACCUAUAAGACUGGGAUAACUUCGGGAAACCGGAGCUAAUACCGGAUAAUAUUUUGAACCGCAUGGUUCAAAAGUGAAAGACGGUCUUGCUGUCACUUAUAGAUGGAUCCGCGCUGCAUUAGCUAGUUGGUAAGGUAACGGCUUACCAAGGCAACGAUGCAUAGCCGACCUGAGAGGGUGAUCGGCCACACUGGAACUGAGACAUGGUCCAGACUCCUACGGGAGGCAGCAGUAGGGAAUCUUCCGCAAUGGGCGAAAGCCUGACGGAGCCACGCCGCGUGAGUGAUGAAGGUCUUCGGAUCGUAAAACUCUGUUAUUAGGGAAGAACAUAUGUGUAAGUAACUGUGCACAUCUUGACGGUACCUAAUCAGAAAGCCACGGCUAACUACGUG
rnacentral:rRNA from 1 species